UACGGGGGGGAGCAAGCGUUGUUCGGAUUUACUGGGCGUAAAGGGCGCGUAGGCGGCGCAACAAGUCACUUGUGAAAUCUCCGGGCUUAACCCGGAGCGGUCAAGUGAUACUGUCGUGCUAGAGUGCGGAAGGGGCUACUGGAAUUCUCGGUGUAGCGGUGAAAUGCGUAGAUAUCGAGAGGAAACACCUGCGGCGAAGGCGGGUAGCUGGGCCGACACUGAC
rnacentral:rRNA from 1 species